ACCUUGUUCCUCCCAUUUGUAUUUACCUUAAACCAAACCUGACCAGUCCUUUGUCUCAUUCCCUUACAACCUUGCUGUCUACCAGGAAUUUGGUCAAUGAAUCCCAAUGUGAUCUGUUGUCUGUGACUUCCUGUGAUGUACAGUCUGGGUAACAUUUUUCAUUUGGAAAGAAUGCUUUCACCUGAGGUAACCAUGUCAAAUAAAUCCUUCUUUUAAAGUGAGUUUAUAUUUUAAAAUGACUAACAAGUGCAUGGUUCCUAGCAGGCGCUAUGUCA
rnacentral:lncRNA from 1 species